CUUGUCUCUAACUGGUUAUCCCUUGACACUCAACUUUUACGGCUGGCGUGGGCUUUCCCUCUGGGGGUAGCAGCUACUUGGGGCUGGCAGGCCUUCUUCUGUACAUAGGGUGGGCCACUUGUGAGGUUGUGGCAGCCUUUUGGUUACACCUAGUACAGGAGGGGUUUUUCGUUUUGUUCGGCGGCUCUGAACUCCUAGGCCGGUUGGGCCUUUGAUUGGGGGCCAUUUUGUCUACGCCUCUGCUUCUAGGGCUUAGCUGAGCUCCCUUCUACUGUCUGCACCCACUAACCCCUCUUUUCUCUCUGUUGGCCUGGGGGACUCUCAGCGCUUAGGCCUUUACUGUAGCUCACUCAGCCAAGCUACUUUGGCUUCCUCGAAUCCCACCGGAUGCAAUCAUGGACCUCCGCUGAACAGUUCGUCUUCUCCGGCAGUUACCACCGGAUGUGGCCUUCAGGCCACAUUAGCUUACGAGGGUUAGAAAACAUGGACCUAGGGCCCAGUAGGGCCGGAGUACUCAAAGCAGGCUACAAAGCCGGCAGCCAGCCUUGGGCAUCCUCCUGUAGUCAGCUUGGCUUUGCAUCCACUCCCUCUAGCCACAGUCAAAGAGCUCAGAACCGCCGAACAAAACGAAAACCCCUUCUUUAGGGCUGGCGGCGAGGAAGAGGCCAGCCCGUCGAGGGCCUGGGAAGAGGGGCCACAAGGCCCGAAGACGAGGCGCGGUUGGCGCCGAUAUAUUAAGAACCAAGUUUGUCGUGCCAGCGAAUACUCUCACGAUUAGGGCUGGUUACAGCAGGUUAGAAAAUAUGGGCCUACGCCAACAGUACUCAAAGCAGGCUGCAAGGGUUAGAAAACCUGGACCUAGAACAGCAGGCUCUAGGAACGCCGGUUAGAAAACAUGGACCUAGAGCAGCAGGCUGCAAAGGCGGCAGCAGGCUAGAAAACAUGGACCUUGAACCAAGGAACGACAAGCCCAGCCUAUAGAGCCAAGCGGCCUUGAACCAAGGAACGACAAGCCCAGCCUGUAGAACCAAGUUACCCUACCAGCGUGCCGGACCAAACAACGACACGCAGGUAAUAAAGGGCCGUGGGGCGGGGAAUCCACAACGGCCCGGGCGAGGCGCGGUUGGCGCCGAUACGAGCGACCCAAGCUUGUCGCACCGCCGCUUUCCUUCGGAAAGUCCAAGGGCCUGGGGCGGGGAAACCACAAGGCCCGAAGCCGAGGCGCGGUUGGCGCCGAUACAAGAGGAACCAAGCGUGUCGUACCGCCCACUCCCCUAAUAAAGUCCAAGGGUCGUGGGACGAGGGACCCACAACGACCCGAAGCCGAGGCGCGGUUGGCGCCGAUAUAGUAAGAUCCAAGCGUGUCGCACCGCCGCCUAACUUCAGAAAGUCCAAGGGCCUGAGACGAGGAGACCACAAGGCCCGAAGCCGAGGCGCGGUUGGCGCCGAUACAGAAGGAAUCAAGCGUGACGCACCGCCUCCCUCCCUUAAAAAGUCCAAGGGUCGUGAGGCGAGGAAUCAACAACGACCCGACGCGAGGCGCGGUUGGCGCCGAUAUAAACGACCCAAGCGUGACACACCGCCUCCCUCC